CCUACAUGUGUAGGAUAGGUGGGAGGCUAUGAAGACGUGACGCCAGUUGCGUUGGAGCCGUCCUUGAAAUACCACCCUUGUAUGUUUGAUGUUCUAACUUGGCCCCAUUAUCUGGGGUGAGGACAGUGCCUGGUGGGUAGUUUGACUGGGGCGGUCUCCUCCCAAAGAGUAACGGAGGAGCACGAAGGUGGGCUAAUCACGGUUGGACAUCGUGAGG
rnacentral:rRNA from 1 species